AGGAUUAUAGUUUAUUAAAAACUUUUGAUUUGCAUUCAAAUAAUAUUGAUAUAUAAUCAAUUUAUCUUA
rnacentral:tRNA from 1 species